rnacentral:rRNA from 1 species
GUAGCGGGGGAUAACUAUUGGAAACGAUAGCUAAUACCGCAUAACAAUGGAUGACACAUGUCAUUUAUUUGAAAGGGGCAAUUGCUCCACUACAAGAUGGACCUGCGUUGUAUUAGCUAGUAGGUGAGGUAACGGCUCACCUAGGCGACGAUACAUAGCCGACCUGAGAGGGUGAUCGGCCACACUGGGACUGAGACACGGCCCAGACUCCUACGGGAGGCAGCAGUAGGGAAUCUUCGGCAAUGGGGGCAACCCUGACCGAGCAACGCCGCGUGAGUGAAGAAGGUUUUCGGAUCGUAAAGCUCUGUUGUAAGUCAAGAACGAGUGUGAGAGUGGAAAGUUCACACUGUGACGGUAGCUUACCAGAAAGGGACGGCUAACUACGUGCCAGCAGCCGCGGUAAUACGUAGGUCCCGAGCGUUGUCCGGAUUUAUUGGGCGUAAAGCGAGCGCAGGCGGUUUGAUAAGUCUGAAGUUAAAGGCUGUGGCUCAACCAUAGUUCGCUUUGGAGACUGUCAAACUUGAGUGCAGAAGGGGAGAGUGGAAUUCCAUGUGUAGCGGUGAAAUGCGUAGAUAUAUGGAGGAACACCGGUGGCGAAAGCGGCUCUCUGGUCUGUAACUGACGCUGAGGCUCGAA